CAUUGAUCCCUCAAUGGGAUCUCAUCAGUGCCCCCAAUGGGUGACACAACAUAUGCUGAGUUGGUUUACAUAAAUGACAUAAAAUAACCAAGAUCAUGUAUUAAAAGGGAUUACAACAUCUAUGGUCAAGCACACCUCUAAUCAUCCAUAAACAUCAUUACAUAACUAUACUGUACUUAAGACAUUACAUUACAAUCCGAUCAUGUCCAUUGCUAGCUAUUACAUAAACAUGACUUCUUUACUCUAUCCGGACUCCCGCUCUAUACUGUACCUGCAAGCCUGGGGGUAAAGGGAGAGGGGUGAGCUAAAAGCCCAGUGAG
rnacentral:lncRNA from 1 species